GCUCCGGUGGCAUUAUGGUUAGUGCGUCCGCCUCGGAUGCGGGAUGUCGUGGGUUCAAUACCCGGCCGAGUCA